CCCUCCCCUCCUCUCUAUGGUUCCCCUCCCUCCUCUCUAUGGUUCCCCUCACUGUCUCCGCCCCCUAACCCCGCGUGCGCCCCAUUCGCUCAGCGCGGACCAAUCCGCACUCCGCGCGCUUCCCAUUGGCCGCGUGGGGACCAAUAAGCGGCCGCGUUGAGUUCGGUAACGGGCGGCGGGAGGAGCCUUAAGGAGGACUUAAAGCGGCGGCGGUGCGGGACGCGGUUGCUUAGCGCGAUGGUGGUGGGCGGCUCUUCCCAGAAGGAGAACCGCACUCCGGGGCCGAACGACACCGUGAAACGCUUUCCUUACGGCCGAGUCCCGGUGCGGACCCGCUCCCGUUGCGCGGAACAUGGAGAACGACCGAACGCUGCCUGCACCGCUCCGUCCUGUGGGCAGCCCCGUGACGCAGAGGUGGAGCAGCCCCCUCCCCCAGCGCUGGAUGUAGAGACCACCGUCACCCCCUCACCCGUUGCCACCCCUGUGCUGGGGGCUGCGGGGCGCAGGCCCUGCUUGGCCCGCAGGGUGCCCGCCCGUGCCCCCCCCUCUGCCAAAGGACCCUCCCCUCUGAGUACAGCAGGGACCCAAACAGCACUGCUUGGUCCCCUCCAGGAGGGUGCAUCCAUGGGGCUGAGGGUCCCCAAGAAGAAGAAGAAUGGCACCCCAGGCUCCUCCAGUGCUGGCUUGACUCUUUGCGUCUCUGUCACCAAGAACAUGCGUUCUGCCCCCCGCACUCAGAGCUCGCUCCGCACGCCGUGCCUCACCCCUUGCAUCUCCCAGCCACGUGCCCUGCAGACCCCCCUGCGCUGGCGACCGGCUGUGACUCCCCAGUCUGACCCCCGUGCAUACGCUGCUGUCAGCAACAACAAUCUGUCCCCAUCCUGGGACAAGGUGGUGGUGCAGCUCUUCAAGGGGAACGAAGGCCAGCAGGAUGCUAAGGUGACGAUGACACAUCCCAGCAGCACCCCAGGCCCCAGCAAGGCACAGCGUGCAGCCCUGCUCCUGCAGCAGCUGCUGCAGAUGGUGCAGGACCGACCAGAUGCCGUAGCGGUGCUGACGGAGCUGUGGGGGCUCAUGACCGAGUUGGGGGUGGACCCCAUGCCCCAGGACCCCCUGGAUACCCACAGCCUCUCCUCGUAACUGUGACCUACAUGGGGGUUGAGCUGCAUCUCUGUGAACAAAGGGAGUGGGUGAGGGCACAGACAGACCCUCCUGGUGGUGGCCAAGUGGCUGCUGGGGGGUACAGACGCCCCCCUGCAGCAGGCAGACCCCCCUCCAAUGCAGGGCAGUAUGGGUAUGUAUGGGCACAAGGAGUGUGAGAGCUGGGGGGGAGAGGGAGAUCGCUGAAGAGAAGUGUGAAUAAAAUAUUGUCUGCUUUGUUUUGCUGUAUGGGG
rnacentral:lncRNA from 1 species